rnacentral:misc_RNA from 1 species
AACGGUCUAUACCUGCGGUACCUGCGGAGGGAUCAUUACCGAGUACCGGAGCUCUCGGGUUCCUACUCCCACCCUAUGUUGACUUUAAUGUUGCUUUGGCGGACCGGUUAAGACCACCGGCCCAUGCUGGACAGCGUCCGCCAGAGGAUUCUUAAAUACUUCUAAUGGGAAUUCUGAGUCUUUGAAAAUUGAAUCAAAACUUUUAGCAAUGGAUCUCU